AAAUGUAGUCCUCUGGCUGAGGAGCGCUGUCACUCUGAGGCGUGAGGUAUCUUGACUGCCGGGUCCUCCUGCAAGGAGAAUGAGAUGGAACUUGAGGGAGAACGGCCAAGAGUCUGAACUCCAGGAGGUGGAGAGAGUGUAGUUUCAAGUUUCCUGCUCAUGGGAAAGAAAGAAGAAUGCCCGAAGUCAAGCUAAGGCUGCCACCAGGAGCCAGAGCCCACACCUUCAUUUAGUGCUGACAUAAAACUUGACUGAGACAUUCACUAGUCAAAUACCCAUAAUGUAAAUGCUCCCAGUGGCAAGUAAU
rnacentral:lncRNA from 1 species